UACGGAGGGUGCAAGCGUUAUCCGGAUUCACUGGGUUUAAAGGGUGCGUAGGUGGGUUGGUAAGUCAGUGGUGAAAUCUCCGUGCUUAACAUGGAAACUGCCAUUGAUACUACUGAUCUUGAAUUUUCUGGAGGUAAGCGGAAUAUGUCAUGUAGCGGUGAAAUGCUUAGAUAUGACAUAGAACACCAAUUGCGAAGGCAGCUUACUACAGGAAUAUUGACACUGAUGCACGAAAGCGUGGGGAUCAAACAGG
rnacentral:rRNA from 1 species